rnacentral:rRNA from 1 species
UACGUAGGGGGCGAGCGUUUGUCCGGAAUCAUUGGGCGUAAAGCGCGUGUAGGCGGCCCGGUAAGUCCGCUGUGAAAGUCCAGGGCUCAACCCCUGGGAUGCCGGUGGAUACUGUCGGGCUCGAGUCCGGAAGAGGCGAGUGGAAUUCCUGGUGUAGCGGUGAAAUGCGCAGGAUAAGUCAGGAGGAACACCAAUGGCGAAGGCAGCUCGCUGGGACGUGACUGACGCUGAGACGCGAAGCGUGGGGAGCA